UACGUAGGCAGCGAGCGUUGUUCGGAUUUACUGGGCGUAAAGAGUGUGUAGGUGGUUUUCUAAGUUCGGUGUGAAAUCUCCCGGCUUAACUGGGAGGGUGCGCCGAAAACUGGAGUGCUCGAGCGUGGGAGAGGAAAGCGGAAUUCCUGGUGUAGCGGUGAAAUGCGUAGAUAUCAGGAGGAACACCAGCGGUGUAGACGGCUUUCUGGACCGUAGCUGACGCUGAGACACGAAAGCGUGGGUAGCAAACAGG
rnacentral:rRNA from 1 species